rnacentral:rRNA from 1 species
CCUACGGGUGGCAGCAGUGAGGAAUAUUGGUCAAUGGACGAGAGUCUGAACCAGCCAAGUAGCGUGAAGGAUGACUGCCCUAUGGGUUGUAAACUUCUUUUAUAAAGGAAUAAAACGAGGCACGUGUGCCUUUUUGCAUGUACUUUAUGAAUAAGGAUCGGCUAACUCCGUGCCAGCAGCCGCGGUAAUACGGAGGAUCCGAGCGUUAUCCGGAUUUAUUGGGUUUAAAGGGAGCGUAGAUGGGUUGUUAAGUCAGUUGUGAAAGUUUGCGGCUCAACCGUAAAAUUGCAAUUGAUACUGGCAGUCGUGAGUACAGUUGAGGUAAGCGGAAUUCGUGGUGUAGCGGUGAAAUGCUUAGAUAUCACGAAGAACCCCGAUUGCAAAGGCAGCUUACUAAACUGUGACUGACAUUGAUGCUCGAAAGUGUGGGUAUCAAACAGGAUUAGAUACCCGAGUAGUC